rnacentral:lncRNA from 10 species
GGGCGGAUGUGCAAUCUUCACCUGUUUAUUCGGUAGAGGGUGCCAUCUUCAGGUAGCCCUUCACGUUGUACAGAAAACAAUGGAGACUUCUCCUCCUGGGGCAGAUGUUGCACGUGAGGCAAGUAAGGCACUGGUCUCAUAUAUGCAACUGGUGACCAGACAUCUCCAGCAGAAUGACCCAUGGCCCAUGGGCACCUCAAACUCAACAUGUCAGAAAGUGAAUUCUGUCAGGUGUGGUGGCUCACAUCUGUAAUCCCAGCACUUUGGGAGACCAAGGCGGGCAGAUCACUUGAGGUCAAGAAUUCAAGACCAGCCUGGCCAACAUGAGUCUGGCUGGAGUGCAAUAACGCGAUCUCAGCUCACUGCAACCUCUGCCUCCUGGGUUCAAGUGAUUCUCCUGCCUCAGCCUCCCGAGUAGCUGGGACUACAGUUUCACACUGUCACCCAGGCUGGAAUGCAAUGGUGCAAUCUCAGCUCACUGCAACCUCCGCCUACUGGGUUCAAGCGAGUCUCCUGCCUCAGCCUCCUGAGUAGCUGGGAUUACAGGCGUGCGCCACCACAUCCAGCUAAUUUUUUUUUUUUUUAUUUUUAGUAGAGACGGUGUUUC